rnacentral:lncRNA from 1 species
CGUGUGCACUCGUGUGAAGAUGUUAGUAUGCCAGACAAAGAUGACGACCUCGGGUCAUAUUGAUCAAAAUUAAAAUGCAAUAAGUAUUAAAGGUAAAUGUGUUGGGCCCUUUAUAAACGGAUAAAUGACCUUGGUUUCUGAUUGUGUUUUAUUCCCGUAACCUAUUAGGGUACUCAAUUUUAACUAUUCAUGUUUAAACUCCCCUGAUAAUCCAUGUGUGUAUAUAAUUUCCAUUUUUAACGAUAAGAGUGUAGCAGCUGAAAUAUUAUUGCAUUUGACAGGUCAUGAAUAAUUCGAGGUCGAUUUCACUGAAUUUUUAGAGAUUGUGCGUUAUGAUCUGCUAUAAGCAUAACAAAAUUAAAAUGCUAUUAUCAAUAGUUUGUCCUUCUGAUUUUGGAAUAGAAAAG